rnacentral:rRNA from 1 species
UACAGAGGGUGCGAGCGUUAAUCGGAAUUACUGGGCGUAAAGCGUGCGUAGACGGCUAUCUAAGUCGGGUGUGAAAGCCCCGGGCUCAACCUGGGAAUUGCAUUCGAGACUGAAUAGCUAGGGUACGGUAGAGGGAAGCGGAAUUUCCGGUGUAGCGGUUGAAAUGCGUAGAUAUCGGAAGGAACAUCAGUGGCGAAAGCGGCUUC